rnacentral:sRNA from 1 species
CAUAAACUUGACACCUUCAUAUAUCAGGCUCGGAAAAACGGAGCCUGCCUGAAUAUAUCUUUACUUUCACGAAGUACCAUCCGGCCCUUAUAUCUCUCUAACUCACACGUGGCUGAACCCCCCACUGAACAAGAAAAAGAAAGGGAGAGCAAGAUCGUGAGGGGGAGUCAGCCACGUGAGCCAAGUGGUAGAUAUGAUGCUGCGUGCUCGGGUUUGUGGAUGCCGCACAUUUUAGGAAUGUAGGCGGCGGAAGGAGGCUGCACACAAAACCCGGUGGAUGUACAUAGAGUACAUGGCAUCCCUGUUGUAGUGUCACGUGGCGGUAUCGCACUCUUAGGGAUGUUCAUGAAACUAUAGUUUCUGGUGU